rnacentral:rRNA from 1 species
UACAGAGGGGGCAAGCGUUAUUCGGAAUUAUUGGGCGUAAAGCGCGCGUAGGUGGCCUCAUAAGUCCGCUGUGAAAGUCAAAGGCUCAACCUUUGAAAGCCGGUGGAUACUGUGAGGCUAGAGUACGGAAGAGGCGAGUGGAAUUCCCGGUGUAGCGGUGAAAUGCGCAGAUAUCGGGAGGAACACCAAUGGCGAAGGCAGCUCGCUGGGACGGUACUGACGCUGAGACGCGAAAGCGUGGGGAGCAAACAGG